rnacentral:rRNA from 1 species
GCUGGCGGCGCGCCUAAUGCAUGCAAGUCGAGCGACGCAUAUCGGAGGAGUAAUCCACUGGUAUGACGGAGCGGCGAACGGGUGAGUAUCACGUGAGAAACCUGCCCCGAAGACCGGGAUAGCCCGGGGAAACCCGGAUUAAUACCGGAUACCCUCUACAGAUCGCAUGGUCUGUUGAGGAAAGGCCUUUGCGCUUCGGGAUGGUCUCGCGGCCUAUCAGCUAGUUGGUGAGGUAACGGCUCACCAAGGCAUCGACGGGUAGCUGGUCUGAGAGGACGAUCAGCCACACUGGGACUGAGACACGGCCCAGACUCCUACGGGAGGCAGCAGCAGGGAAUCUUGUCCAAUGGGCGCAAGCCUGAGACAGCGACGCCGCGUGGGGGAUGAAGGCCUUCGGGUUGUAAACCCCUUUCA